rfam:Schistosoma margrebowiei strain Zambia genome assembly, scaffold: SMRZ_contig0001251
AUCCAGCUGACGAAUCCGAAAUAGAACAAAACGCACGUCCUGAAU